rnacentral:rRNA from 1 species
GGAAUCUUCCACAAUGGACGCAAGUCUGAUGGAGCAACGCCGCGUGAGUGAAGAAGGGUUUCGGCUCGUAAAGCUCUGUUGUUAAAGAAGAACGUGGGUAAGGGUAACUGUUUACCCAGUGACGGUAUUUAACCAGAAAGCCACGGCUAACUACGUGCCAG